AACCAUCUGGGCCAGGUCAGUAGUGCAACCUGCAGGGAGGAUGAAUUAGGCUGCAACCCCAACUCGGAACCAAAGAACCCGGAGCUGUGAGUCUGAAAAACAACAGCCUCAUGGCCAGAUUCACCAAAGGAAGGACUCACUUUAUACCAGGGCCCCACACAUUCCAAGACCUGCUUGCUGGACACAGCACAAGGCUGGAGCUCACAAAGCAAAGGGAAUAAGAACUGCAGUCCAUAGUCAGCCAGGUAACAGAAGGCCCCCAAAUACUUCUUAUAUGAGAAUUUGGCUUCUUGGCCUCAACCCAGAAGUUUCCCAGCUUCCCCAUUUCUCAAAAUGUGGCAGGGAUAAGAAGCGGGAAUAGCAGAAUUCCCAAAACUAUUUAUGAACAGGGAAUGUUUCUGUGUAUCUAUUAAGGAUAGCACAAGUUGAAUUUUAAACAAAUGUCUAUUUUUCCUCCAGCAAAAAAACAACAACAAACCCAGGUAUUUAAGUCCUGGACAGCUGGAGAUCCCAAAGUGAAAAUUGUACACAUCUUCUAAUUCCUCUUUUAAAAAAAGUUUUAAAAAAGAAA